rnacentral:rRNA from 1 species
AUUGAACGCUGGCGGAAUGCUUUACACAUGCAAGUCGAACGGCAGCACGGGGGCAACCCUGGUGGCGAGUGGCGAACGGGUGAGUAAUACAUCGGAACGUGCCCAGUCGUGGGGGAUAACGUAGCGAAAGCUACGCUAAUACCGCAUACGAACUCUGGUUGAAAGCGGGGGAUCGCAAGACCUCGCGCGAUUGGAGCGGCCGAUGGCAGAUUAGGCAGUUGGUGGGGUAAAGGCUCACCAAGCCUGCGAUCUGUAGCUGGUCUGAGAGGACGACCAGCCACACUGGGACUGAGACACGGCCCAGACUCCUACGGGAGGCAGCAGUGGGGAAUUUUGGGCAAUGGGCGCAAGCCUGAUCCAGCCGUUCCGCGUGCAGGAUGAAGGCCCUCGGGUUGUAAACUGCUUUUGUACGGAACGAAAAGCGCCUGGUUAAUACCUGGGCGUCAUGACGGUACCGUAAGAAUAAGCACCGGCUAACUACGUGCCAGCAGCCGCGGUAA